UAUCACUGAUGCCGAGGACACGGUCUUUUCUUUAUAGAAGACGGCAGAACACCUGCAAAUCAGUGUUUGAGUCCAAGGGCUGCCGUCAGUGCCUCAAACACUUAUGUAGUAACUGUGUCCUUUUGCCAGCUAUGUCAUACAGGAUUGAAGGCAGAAUUUAUUGCAAAUGUUGAAACCAUCUUGGCAAAUUAUUAUCAGCCUGUGUCUUCAGCUAGAUGGACCUUUCAAGCCCUCCUAAGGAAAGAAACCUAUUCCCUGGAUCUGAGGAGCUGACUUAAAUGCUCACUUUUCUGAAGAACAGCACCAAUUCAUGUCUUUUAUUAUAUGUUAGUCACUGUCAUUGUGGUUAAGUACAAUGUAGCACAGAUGGAGCAUUUUUUAAAGACACACAAAAACACACACACAAACACACACGUCAGUGGUUUUUCUUUGAUGAAUAUGGCAAGCUGUUCAUUUUUUCACAGCUGUAAAGAAGGCAGCCAAUUGUGAUAAGUAAAAUGCAGGUAUCCAUGUCAGCUUCUCACUUGAGAGAGUAAAACUAAGUUAAAGCUAAAACUUCACUGAAUUCCUAUACCUGGCCAUAUAUUUAUAUUUGAGCAACAAUUUAAAAAUAAUUUAUGUUUCACCAUUCUGAAAAGUAAAGUAGAAUAUUGGGCACAAUGAGAGAUCCAACUGAGAGGGUAUUGCAAAGUGAUAUUUAAAUAUUAUAUUUGGCCAUGAACAAACUCUAAAUUAAGGUUUACAUUUGAACCAAAAACCGAAAGUUAUUUAAAAGCAAAAAAAAAAAAAAUUUCAGUGGGUUUCUAGCAUAAGUACUCUUAAUUAAAACAAAUGCAGUAACAAAAUCUUUAGGAAAAAGUAUAAGGAAGUCAAUUAAUUCCACAUAGCCUGAAGUAUCAGUCACAAUGCUAGAAUUUUAGUUUUAGUUUUGAUUUUGAUCAAAAAAUAAUGUGUGCUAAGUGCUAAGCAUAUUCUGAUGAAGGUUUCUAUUAGGUUAGCUCUAUUAGAUAUACAUAUGUUCUGAAUACAAGAAAAGAGGCAAGGAAUUUGGGGGAAACUGUUAGGCCAGAGGUGAGAGCAAAAGGAAAAUUCCAGUUGUAAAGUAAACAAAACUUAUAAGACAGAAAAACGGCAGGAAUGGCAAUGCAAAGCACACCAAAGCACUAUCCAAAAAUGUAUUGGCCAUGUUUCUGGAAAGGAAAGUUGAAGAAACGAAAGUGCUGAAAAGGAAAAAGGGCAAAAGGACACGUUGAUAAUGUGGGUUGAAACAUCAGGAUCCAUAAAUAGGGACUAUUCC